rnacentral:rRNA from 1 species
UACGUAGGAGGCGAGCGUUGUCCGGAAUUAUUGGGCGUAAAGAGCUCGUAGGCGGUCUGCCACGUCCGCUGUGAAAACCUAGGGCUUAACCCUGGGCUUGCAGUAGAUACGGGCAGACUAGAGGUAGGUAGGGGAGAAUGGAAUUCCCGGUGUAGCGGUGAAAUGCGCAGAUAUCGGGAGGAACACCGGUGGCGAAGGCGGGUCUCUGGGCAGUAACUGACGCUGAGGAGCGAAAGCGUUGGGAGCGAACAGG